ACAUGAACUUGCAGGUCGUCCAGGUCUCUUCCUCUAUCCCCGAGCGCCGGCCCUAUCCCUAUCCCUGAGCUCCUCUGUUGGUCGAGGCUGCGCCGCCACCGUCCUCAAUCCCGGCGGCGAGCUUCCGCGCCCUCUGAUACCCAUCUACUCUUCUUCUGCAGGCCCCCAUGGUGGGUCUCUUCUUUACUUUAUUUUUUAAUGUCGUCUCCUGCAGCGUUCUGCCUUGGCGACUGCGGCAGCCGCACGCGCUGCUGGCUUCCAUCGCCGAUUGUAUUCCUCUUGCGUCCGCCUCCAUGCGCUUGCAGCUGGUGGCUGUGGUAACGGGACUGACGGUGAAGGAGAUUCGACAGAGCCGAUCGUGACGAGCACCUCAUCCUCCUUUUACUCCGCAGGAUCAGCGUCCCCUUUUCUUUUGUGUCUGACCAACAGGGUAGGAUGACGUACGUUGUUGAUUUGUUGUACUGAUGCGUGAUCGGGCAUCUCGGGAGGAUCUAGGCCAUGGACAACACAUUGCAGAGGCCAUUAAUAUGUAGCAAAGCCAUUUUAUGAGGUCGUCGUUGACAACAAUGUUAUGCUCAACUUUGAGAGCCAAUCUUCUUUUAUCCGUAUUCAACUCUUGUUGGUAACAUAUUCAUCUCUUGUUAGGCACGCUUAUACGCUGAUGUUACAUUUUUGCCGGAUUUUGAUGUUUGUGCAUCGGAGAGCUUCCUUGAUGCUGGCAUCAGCUUGGAAGUUGUUGCUUUUCAGAGAACUCUGGGAACCAUAUAUCCUUCACAAGGCACACAAUUAUUCAGAAGAAUAGUAACUGUUAGUCGUGCUUAGAUGCUUCACAUUCCAUUCUUUUACUGCCCCCAAACGUACUAUAACAAACAAUCAUCUUCAUAUUUGAGGCAUUGCAGUUUUGGAUACUCAUACUUCUUACAUAUAUUUGUACCAUCUAAAUUUA